ensembl:lncRNA
CCCACAGUGUUGGCGCCCUGUAGAAAUCUAUGAGCACAUCUUCCAGUUUUAGUUCACUGUGGAAAGGGCCAGACACACCUAAUAAAGACAUUGGGGGACCGGCGAUGCGCUAGAACACGCAGAUCUCAACUUCCAACUCAGGCCGUGCUGUCCCUCGGGGUAACUAUUGAUUUGGUAUUUAAGUUCUGUCAAUAUUUACCUCUUCAGUCGAUGAAGUUUGAUGUCUAUGUCAGGGCACUGAUAUCUGCUUCGAGUUUAUUUCUCACUUCCUGCUUUUGUUCUAUCAGCCUAGGGAGGAGAAUGGGGUUUGGCUGGGGAGAACGGUUCCUAGACGCCCUGGUGUAGGAUGGGGCCGUAGUUCCGUUUCUCCCCCUUGUGCCUCGGCGUCCUGGGUGGCUGCAGAGGUCCCUUCACCACUGGCAUCUGAUGCCUCCAUCCUUGAAUAUCUAGAAGGAUAAGGUAGGUGAAUCACCCAAGUUUUGCGGGUGGCAAGUCGGGAAGAGAAAACAUCGUUUUCCAUUUGGAUAAAGAACAGUGUUUGCACUGACUUCAACUGUGCCUGCUUGGAAGCAGAUUUCUGCAGGACACCAUGCAAACAUUGACAGGGCCUUCAAACUGGGACUCAGGAGGCCAGACCCUGUCAGAGGACUGUGGGCCCUGUGGUAGGGCCUGCUGGAGACCCCUGUGAGGCCUCCCCGCCUGGAACCUGAGUUCUCUCUGAUCCAAUGCCCUGGCCAGCAGCUGCAGAAGGGACCAGCACCCAUGUUCACCCCAGCCAUGCUCUGCAGAGCUGUUCAGGGGUCAACGACUGUGUUACAAGAGCUGUGAGGGUGACCGGCCCAAAGCUUCCCCUACAGCAAGGGCACAGCCAGUCAACUUCCAAGUGAGGCCGGGAGCUGGGGCCUCCUGCCUUCCCAGGGCUGUAUCUCCCCUUAGCUCUCUAUGGAAACAAUAAAUCUGGGUUGGAUGCCGUGUGCACUCUGCCCUGUUCUAGGAAGGGAGCAACCCAGACAACCGUCACCAGCCGCAGUAGUUCAUUCUGGGGUGUGCACCCGCCUGGGACCCGAGGACGUUUCCACAAGAGACCAGCAUUGGAAUCUGUGGCCUGAAGAAAGGCACGCACCUCCCACUAAACCUCCUUCCCCUCUCUCAUUGUUGCUGCACGAAAGACCUGCCUCCUCUCUGGAUCCGUUGGUUAAGCAGAGGCACCUGCACAUAGGAAGUGGCUGGGAUGAAGGCCUGGCCCUGGACUCUUCCUCUGCUCUCCCAGAAUUUGCACUUAACUGGUACCCACAAAUUACUCACCCUGGUUAGGACGCUCCAAUUUGGGCAUUUUUUCUUUUCUUGAAAGGCAGGAAGACACAGAGAGAGAGAGAGAUCUUCCACCUGCUGGAUUACUCCUCAAAUGCCUGCAGCAGCCAGGGCUGGACCAGGUCAAAGUCAGGAGCCUGGAACUCAAUCCAGGUCUCUCCCAUGGAUGACAGGGCCUCAAGUUCUUGAGCCAUCACCUGCCGCUCCUCCUCCCCCGCCUCCCCCGCCAGAAAGCACGUUAGCAGGAAACUGGAUUGGAAGUGGAGGAACCAGGACUCGAACCAGGCACUCCGAUGUAGGAUGUGGGCAUCCCAAGUGGUGACUUAAGAUACUGUGCCAAACACUUGUCCUGAAUUUGGCCAAUUAGGAAUUUCAUGCAAUUCCAACAACAGCAAUGUGGUUCAGGAAAACAUGAAGAUACAUCGAGAUUUGGGGAGAAUUUUUGGUAAGGUGGAGGUAUCAUGAUUGCCCAGUUGCAGGAGAGUUUUGGCCUCAGGCAACAAGGGGACACUGGGCAGGCAGCCUGAAACCCUGGAGCCUACACAGUCUGUCUUCCAGAGCUGAACUGUGACCUGUCAUGGUCGAGGAGGCCAAGAAAGCAGGGAGGAGAAAACAAGACAGCUACUGUGGGCAUCAGGAGAACCCAGGCAAGCUGAGUGGCCAAGAGGAAGCCAAGCAUUCCAGUGGACAGACCAAGCGCAGCCUCUGACAGGAGAGCCAGCAGGCAGGGAUGGACAGCACCCUGGCCACCACCCCCACGCCUUUGGCCCUGCUCUCUGGACAGCUGCAUGCCUGGAGUCCACCUCCAGGUCCCCAAAUCAAACCUGGCAGAUGACAGGUAAACUAGCUCAGAGUCAAUUCAACAAGGACAGUGCGUGUCCACUUUCUCCAUAAGGAAUCAAUGUUCACCUCUCCCAGCACGCAUCGCUUCCUAACACUGAGGCAUCCUGAUAUGGAGUAAACAAGGAAGCUGAGAAUCAGCAUCUAUGUUUUAGAUCGGAGA